CCCCCGAGGCGGGCAGUUUUCUUGAGCAAGUCCACAGCCACCCCUGUGAGGGAGGGCAGCAGCUCUCUUUCUCCCGCUUAUGGUGGAAACAUCACUUCCUAUCAUAUCCAUCCUAUAUUAACUCUCAAAGAUGGACAGGCUGCCCAGAGGAGCAGAAAGAGACCCCUCCCCACGGGCUCAGAUUAAUGGCUUGAACUCAAACGGGUAACCAGACCUCUGAGCCCAGACUUCCUAUGCAGACGAGGUCUCACUGUGGCCAGCAAUUGUGCUGCCGCAUCCCGCACUCGCUACAGCUUCUGGAUCAGACACGGGGGAAGCUCCACAUAGAGCGCAUGGCAGUAACUCAGUCCUGAAGUCAUCAGUGCAUGAACCACCGUGGCAAGGCUUCCCUGGUCCAGGAAUGGCUGUUGAACCAAUCGUAGCUGGUCAAAGGACACCUGAACGCAAACGGUUUAAGACUCGGUAGAGGAGAUGAGUUGCAGACCCCAUGUGGCCCCGUUCAGCUGAACUCUCUUAGACGCCCACCUGAGAUCUUCCCACUCGGCAUCCUUUCCCAGGACACUCCAUUCCCUUCCUCUUCCCACCCACUUUUCCAUUUCUUCCCCAGCAGCGACUCAGCCUUCCUGGGCCGCUGGGCUUUGGGCUGGUUAGUCUCCCCCAGGAAAUAUCAUGGCAUGGAAGAGAGGUCCAGGGGUCAUCUUUACCAACUGCACUGGCUCCCGGUGAAGUACAGGGUCAGGUUUAAGGUGCUGGUUUUGACCUUUGAAGCCCUAUGCGGCCUAGGACCCACGUACCUACGGGACCCCCUCUCCUGGUAUGCCCCGCGGAGGACCUUAAGGUCCACAAAUGACAACACUUUGGAGGUCCCAGGUCUCAAGGUGGUUAGGUUGGUCUCAACUAGGGCCAGGGCCUUUUCACUACUGGCCCCGACUUGAUGAAACGCUCUGUCCCAAGAGACUAGGGCCCUGCGGGACUUGACAUCUUUCCGCAGGGCCUGCAAGACAGAGCUGUUCCGCCUGGCCUUUGGUUUAGACUCAGUCUGACCCUUAUGUUUCCCUCCCCUUAUGGUUUUGAUCUAUGGGUACUUUUGAAAUGAGGCUGCAUUUUAAAUUACAUUUUAACCUGUAUUUUAAAUUGGUUUUUUUUCUCCCUCUCUUUUCCCCUAUUAUGUUUUUACUGUGAUUUUAUUUUAUUGGUGUUAGCUGCCCUGAGCCCGGCUCUGGCCAGGGAGGGCGGGGUAUAAAUAAAACAUCAUCAUCAUUAUUAUUAUUAUUAUUAUGAUGAUGGCCAGCCCCUUGUAAUGCAGGAGUCACAGCUAAAUGAUAAUAUCAUUUAAGGGACCCCGAGGGUCAUCCAGCCCAACCCCAAAUGCGGGAAUCAUAGAAUCAUGGAGUUUAUUUAUUUAUUACAUUUCUGUGCCACCUUUUCCCCUGCAAGGAGCUCAAAGUGCUUUACAUGGGUCUCCUCCUCCCCAUUUCAUCCUCACGACAAGGUUAGGAAGGGUCCCCAAGGGCCCAACCGCCUGCAAUGCGGGAAUCUCUUGCCCAAUGUAGAUCACAGCUAAUGUAGAUCAACAGACUCCUUGAACUCUGUCCUGCAAUGCAGUACUGAAUAAUGUCU
rnacentral:lncRNA from 1 species